rnacentral:tRNA from 1 species
GCGUCCGUUGUGUAGUGGUUAUCAUCCAGGACUUCCAUUCAAGGCGUUUCGGGAAUUCAAUUCCCGGCGGACGCA